rnacentral:lncRNA from 1 species
GGUUUUCCUCAUUGCUAGUGAUUGUGCAAUUGGGUGUAACUCUUGGUUUUUUUGCUAGUUUCCUUUUUUCUGUUGUUUGACGAGCUCAUUUUUGAGUUUCGAACCCCCUAGUCUGCGUUCUUGUGCUUUCAAGGGCUUUUUCUCUUUUUUCUUUCUAUUUUAUAAAACUUAAAUCUAAUAUCUUAUCUAUUUGACUUUUAAUUUCA